AGUAAAGUCAGCUAAUAAAGCUAUCGGGCCCAUACCCCGAAAAUGUUGGUUUAAAUCCCUCCUAUACUA
rnacentral:tRNA from 2 species